rnacentral:rRNA from 1 species
UACAGAGGGUGCAAGCGUUAAUCGGAAUUAUUGGGCGUAAAGCGCAUGUAGGUGGUUUGUUAAGUUUGAUGUGAAAGCCCUGGGCUUAACCUGGGAAUGGCGUUGAAGACUGACAGACUGGAGUCGGAGAGAGGGUCGUGGAAUUUCCGGUGUAGCGGUGAAAUGCGUAGAGAUCGGAAGGAAUAUCGAUGGCGAAGGCAGCGACCUGGUUCCAGACUGACACUGAGGUGCGAGAGCGUGGGGAGCAAACAGG